rnacentral:rRNA from 1 species
CUUGAACGCUGGCGGCAGGCCUAACACAUGCAAGUCGAGCGGCAGCGGGAAAGUAGCUUGCUACUUUUGCCGGCGAGCGGCGGACGGGUGAGUAAUGCCUGGGAAAUUGCCCAGUCGAGGGGGAUAACAGUUGGAAACGACUGCUAAUACCGCAUACGCCCUACGGGGGAAAGCAGGGGACCUUCGGGCCUUGCGCGAUUGGAUAUGCCCAGGUGGGAUUAGCUAGUUGGUGAGGUAAUGGCUCACCAAGGCGACGAUCCCUUGCUGGUCUGAGAGGAUGAUCAGCCACACUGGAACUGAGACACGGUCCAGACUCCUACGGGAGGCAGCAGUGGGGAAUAUUGCACAAUGGGGGAAACCCUGAUGCAGCCAUGCCGCGUGUGUGAAGAAGGCCUUCGGGUUGUAAAGCACUUUCAGCGAGGAGGAAAGGUUGAUGCCUAAUACGUAUCAACUGUGACGUUACUCGCAGAAGAAGCACCGGCUAACUCCGUGCCAGCCGCCGCUGUAAUAC